rnacentral:tRNA from 1 species
GGGUGGGUAGUUCAGUUGGUUAGAACGCCGCCCUUACAAGGCGGAGGCCCCCGGUUCGAAUCCGGGCCCACCCACCA